UGCCUCUCGUGCUAAGAUUCCAGUUGUGGGUU
rnacentral:piRNA from 1 species